AUACGUAGGGUGCGAGCGUUGUCCGGAAUGACUGGGCGUGAAGGGCGUGUAGGCGGCCGAUUAAGUCUGGAGUGAAAGUCCCGCUUUCAAGGUGGGAAUUGCUUUGGAGACUGGUUGGCUUGAGUGCGGAAGAGGUAAGUGGAAUUCCCAGUGUAGCGGUGAAAUGCGUAGAUAUUGGGAAGAACACCGGUGGCGAAGGCGCCUUUCUGGACUGUGUCUGACGCUCAGAUGCGAAAGCCAGGGUAGCGAACGGGAUUAGAUACCCCGGUAGUCCUGGCCGUAAACGAUGGGUACUAGGUGUGGGAGGUAUCGACUCCUUCCGUGCCGGAGUUAACGCAAUAAGUACCCCGCCUGGGGAGUACGGCCGCAAGGCUUAAACUCAAAUGAAUUGACGGGG
rnacentral:rRNA from 1 species